AGCAGCCGCGGUAAUUCCAGCUCCAAUAGCGUAUAUUAAAGUUGCUGCAGUUAACAAGCUCGUAGUUGAAUUUCGGGAUCAAUAUGUUGGUCGUGCCUCGGUACGUACUAGCUUAUUGGUUUCUCCCUUCUGACGAACCAUGAUGUCAUUUAUUUGGUGUUAUGAGGAAUCAGGACUGUUACUUUGAAAAAAUUAGAGUGUUUAAAGCAGGCUCACGCUUGAAUACAUUAGCAUGGAAUAAUGAAAUAGGACGUUUGAUUCUAUUUUGUUGGUUUCUAGGAUCGACGUAAUGAUUAAUAGGGAUAGUUGGGGGCAUUAGUAUUCAAUUGUCAGAGGUGAAAUUCUUGGAUUUAUUGAAGACUAACUACUGCGAAAGCAUUUGCCAAGGAUGUUUUCAUUAAUCAAGAACGAAAGUUAGGGGAUCGAAGACGAUCAGAUACCGUCGUAGUCUUAACCAUAAACUAUGCCGACUAGGGAUCGGAUGAUGUUAAUUUUUUAAUGACUCAUUCGGCGCCUUACG
rnacentral:rRNA from 1 species